CCUACGGGAGGCAGCAGUGGGGAAUAUUGGGCAAUGGAGGCAACUCUGACCCAGCAACGCCGCGUGAAUGAUGAAGGUCUUCGGAUUGUAAAGUUCUGUGAUGGGGGAUGAACACAAUGACGGUACCCCAAUAGCAAGCCACGGCUAACUACGUGCCAGCAGCCGCGGUAAUACGUAGGUGGCAAGCGUUAUCCGGAAUGACUGGGCGUAAAGGGGGCGUAGGUGGUUUAGUAAGUUGGCGGUGUAAUUCCGGGGCUCAACCUCGGCGCUACCGCCAAAACUAUUAGACUAGAGUGCAGGAGGGGUAAGUGGAAUGCCUGGUGUAGCGGUGGAAUGCGUAGAUAUUAGGCGGAACAUCAGGGGCGAAGGCGACUUACUGGACUGUAACUGACACUGAGGCACGAAAGCGUGGGGAGCAAACAGGAUUAGAUACCCCAGUAGUC
rnacentral:rRNA from 1 species